CGCGUGAGGAACCUGCCUCAAAGAGGGGGACAACAGUUGAAACGACUGCUAAUACCGCAUAAGCCCACGACCCGGCAUCGGGGUUGAGGGAAAAGGAGCAAUCCGCUUUGAGAUGGCCUCGCGUCCGAUUAGCUAGUUGGUGAGGUAACGGCCCACCAAGGCGACGAUCGGUAGCCGGACUGAGAGGUUGAACGGCCACAUUGGGACUGAGGCACGGCCCAGACUCCUACGGGAGGCAGCAGUGGGGAAUAUUGCACAAUGGGGGAAACCCUGAUGCAGCGACGCCGCGUGGAGGAAGAAGGUCUUCGGAUUGUAAACUCCUGUUGUUGAGGAAGAUAGUGACGGUACUCAACAAGGAAGUGACGGCUAACUACGUGCCAGCAGCCGCGGUAAAACGUAGGUCACAAGCGUUGUCCGGAAUUACUGGGUGUAAAGGGAGCGCAGGCGGGAAGACAAGUUGGAAGUGAAAUCCAUGGGCUCAACCCAUGAACUGCUUUCAAAACUGUUUUUCUUGAGUAGUGCAGAGGUAGGCGGAAUUCCCGGUGUAGCGGUGGAAUGCGUAGAUAUCGGGAGGAACACCAGUGGCGAAGGCGGCCUACUGGGCACCAACUGACGCUGAGGCUCGAAAGUGUGGGUAG
rnacentral:rRNA from 1 species